GAGGAAUCUUCCACAAUGGGCGAAAGCCUGAUGGAGCAACGCCGCGUGAAGGAUGAAGGCCCUCGGGUCGUAAACUUCUUUUAUAAGUGAAGAAUAUGACGGUAACUUAUGAAUAAGCACCGGCUAACUACGUGCCAGCAGCCGCGGUCAUACGUAGGGUGCAAGCAUUAUCCGGAGUGACUGGGCGUAAAGAGUUGCGUAGGUGGUUUGUUAAGUAGGUAGUGAAAUCUAGCGGCUCAACCGUAUAGGCUAUUACCUAAACUGGCAAACUCGAGAAUGGUAGAGGUAACUGGAAUUUCUUGUGUAGGAGUGAAAUCCGUAGAUAUAAGAAGGAACACCAAUGGCGUAGGCAGGUUACUGGACCAUUUCUGACACUGAGGCACGAAAGCGUGGGGAGCGAACGGG
rnacentral:rRNA from 1 species